GGCUUACUGCACAACAGGUUUUAGGUACACUAUAUGCUUGUCUUUUCAUUUGCUGGCAAAUUUUACCUAUUUUCUGUAGUUGUAUUCAGUCAUUUUAUUGUGUAUUCUCGUGCGCACGCUAUCUGAAGGGCUUAUGCUGUGUGCAGAACUAGAUUAUGAACAGGUAAUGAAUGCUGCUAGUGAUCAAAAAAUUCAGGACAUCACUUCAUUCACUGAGUUUUUUGAAUGGACAAGUUCCUUUAUGUUUUGAAUGGUUAUUAGCAAAAGUUGGAUUAUCCUGAAGUCAAGAAAUUUCAUCAUUAUGUUUUACUAAAAGGCUAAUCAGCAUGACUGUAUGCUUUCUUGCCUGCUACAAAACACAUCUUAAGACCUGACUAAAAUUCAUUCUUUUCGUAGAUCAUUCCUGGAUGAAGGAUG
rnacentral:misc_RNA from 1 species